ACGGCUCAGUAACACGUGGCUAACCUGCCCUUGGGACAAGGACAACUCCGGGAAACUGGGGCUAAUCCCUGAUAAGUGAGAAAUCCUGGAAUGGAUUCUCGCUCAAAGGACGUUUAGACCAUGCUUCUAAGCGUCGCCCAAGGAGGGGGCCGCGACCGAUCAGGUUGUUGGUGAGGUAACGGCUCACCAAGCCUUUAACCGGUACGGGCCGUGAGAGCGGAAGCCCGGAGAUGGGCACUGAGACAAGGGCCCAGGCCCUACGGGGCGCAGCAGUCGCGAAAACUCCGCAAUACACGAAAGUGUGACGGGGCUAUCCCGAGUGCCAUCCGCUGAGGAUGGCUUUUCCCCAGUGUAUAAAGCUGGGGGAAUAAGGAGAGGGCAAGCCUGGUGUCAGCCGCCGCGGUAAUACCAGCUCUCCGAGUGGUGGGGAUGUUUAUUGGGCCUAAAGCAUUCGUAGCCUGCUUGGCAAGUCCUCCGUUAAAUCCAACGAUUCAAUCGUUGGGCUGCGGGGGAUACUGUCCAGCUAGGGGGCGGGAGAGGCCGACGGUAUCCCCGGGGUAGGGGUGAAAUCCUAUAAUCCCGGGAGGACCACCAGUGGCGAAGGCUGUCGGCUAGAACGCGCUCGACGGUGAGGGAUGAAAGCUGGGGGAGCGAACCGGAUUAGAUACCCGGGUAGUCCCAGCUGUAAACGAUGCAGGCUAGGUGUUGGCGCGGCUACGUGCCGCUCCAGUGCCGCAGGGAAGCCGUUAAGCCUGCCGCCUGGGAAGUACGGCCGCAAGGCUGAAACUUAAAGGAAUUGGCGGGGGAGCACCACAAGGUGUGAAGCUUGCGGUUUAAUUGGAUUCAACGCCGGG
rnacentral:rRNA from 1 species